UCAGCAGAAUCUGCUGCUUUUGCAAUCGGAGUUGAUUACUGAAUAAUGAAUUAUCAUUCUUUUUUCAUUUUCUAGCCCUUUUCAGAAGUGUGCUGCUAUUUUUCUACUUAUUGAGUCUCAAAAUGGAAAGCAAAGAAGAUUUUUCUCUUAGAGGCGGGGAAAACACAAUCUUAACAACCCCAUUUUGGUCCUGCAGGUGAGAGUAAUAAUUGUUUUAAUUAAUUCAGUUUCUGAUUUGGAGUAAUUUAAUUUCUUCCUUGACUGGUCAAUAACAUGUCUAAUGAAGCGAGUUUCUUUGGAAAAUACCAGGCAGGGCCACUUGGUCAGAUCAAAGAAGUUCUUGCCUUCCUGGAGGGCUGCUUCCUCCCUGCUGGGCAGGGUGAGGACAUGAAGGGGUAUCUGGAAAUGGGUGUUCCACUCAAGGAGAAUAGAGCCACACCUGUGUCAGAGAACAGAGGCUUGCUCCAAAGCCUUCAUGGGGUUGCGCUGGAGAGCUGCCUCACACAUCACAAGUCGUGGGAGUUCUAUAAUGUGAGAUUUGUUUUCCUGGGAAGGAGGCUGCAUCCAGCCUGCCUCUCACAUCCACUGUGAAAGAGGAGGUCAGUGCACUAAGGGCAGGUGGCCACAGAUGAGAAAGGACAAUGUCACUGUGUUAGUCAGCUGUAUUAGGCUCACUAACAAAGUAGGGAAACAACAGAAAUUUAUCUUCUCACCAUUCUGAAGGCUGGAAGUCCAAGAUCAAGGUGCCAGAAGGGUUGGUGUCUGGUAAGGUCUCUCCUUGGCUUGCAGAGGGCUGCCCUCUUCCCGCGUCCUCAUAGGUCGGCCCUCUGUCUGUGUGUUGUUUAUAUCUUAAACUCCUCUUUUUAUAAGGACCCAGCCAUAUUGGACUGGGGCUCUUCCAUAUGACUUCAUUUUGCCUUAAUCACCUCUUUACAGACUGUGUCUCCGAAUACAGUAACAUUCUGUGGUAGAGGGUUAGGACUUCAGUGUGUGACUUUUUUUUUUUUUUUUUUUUUGAGGCAGGCAGGGGAAACACAAUUCAGCCCCUAGCAGUCACCCCCACAGACACUGGAAUGAGGAAACCUAGAGUUCUUGGACAGCAAAGUAAGCAGAAACAGCUCGGAGGUUACUUCCUUAAAACUGACCUGUGACCCAGCAACAGGCCUUAAGUUACCACAUUCCAAAGUGCCUGUGGGGAGAAACGGCGCAGCUGGGACUCUGUGCUGUGGCAGCCUAAGCGAACCUCUUCACGGGCUAAUGACAAUUGCAGGCAUUGUUGGGCUGUGUCCUAAGGUGAAUCAACAUAAAGAAAAGCCCUGGCUGCUCGUGCACUGAUAACUUCAUCUUUUCGGACAUCUGGGAACUACCGCCACAAUGUCUGGAAAAAAAAUGACUUCAAACUAAUGCAGCAGAGGCAAACCAUGGUUUGGCCAAAAAUGGAACAGAAUUUACAAGGGAAAAGGGAAGUUCCUGGAGUAAUAUGUGUAGGUCAGAUGAGGAUGGAACUGGUGAAUGAGCAGAAGAGAAGGUUGGAAGAGUGCAGUGGUGAUGACAGCCCUCCGCUGCUCCUUCCCCAGAGGAAGGAGCUCCAGCCCAGUCUCCUCUUCAAUCAAUGGCUUCAGAAUCUGAAAACUGUCUCAGGACAAGAAAGUUGGCAAAGAAACAUAAUUUUU
rnacentral:lncRNA from 10 species